AUUGAACGCUGGCGGCAGGCCUAACACAUGCAAGUCGAGCGGGGUUUUCGGACCUAGCGGCGGACGGGUGAGUAAUGCGUAGGAAGCUACCCGAUAGAGGGGGAUACCAGUUGGAAACGACUGUUAAUACCGCAUAAUGUCUACGGACCAAAGUGUGGGACCUUCGGGCCACAUGCUAUCGGAUGCGCCUACGUGGGAUUAGCUAGUUGGUGGGGUAAUGGCUCACCAAGGCGACGAUCCCUAGCUGGUUUGAGAGGAUGAUCAGCCACACUGGAACUGAGACACGGUCCAGACUCCUACGGGAGGCAGCAGUGGGGAAUUUUGGACAAUGGGGGCAACCCUGAUCCAGCCAUGCCGCGUGAGUGAAGAAGGCCUUCGGGUUGUAAAGCUCUUACGGCGGGAACGAAAGCGCACUUAAUAACACUAGGUGUGUAUGACGGUACUCGCAGAAGAAGCACCGGCUAACUACGUGCCAGCAGCCGCAGUAACAC
rnacentral:rRNA from 1 species